GAUCAAUGCUGGCGGCGUGCCUAAUACAUGCAAGUCGAGCGAACAGACAAGGAGCUUGCUCCCUUGACGUUAGCGGCGGACGGGUGAGUAACACGUGGGUAACCUACCUAUAAGACUGGGAUAACUUCGGGAAACCGGAGCUAAUACCGGAUAAUAUUUCGAACCGCAUGGUUCGAUAGUGAAAGAUGGUUUUGCUAUCACUUAUAGAUGGACCCGCGCCGUAUUAGCUAGUUGGUAAGGUAACGGCUUACCAAGGCGACGAUACGUAGCCGACCUGAGAGGGUGAUCGGCCACACUGGAACUGGGACACGGUCCAGACUCCCACGGGAGGCAGCAGUAGGGAAUCUUCCGCAAUGGGCGAAAGCCUGACGGAGCAACGCCGCGUGAGUGAUGAAGGUCUUCGGAUCGUAAAACUCUGUUAUUAGGGAAGAACAUACGUGUAAGUAACUAUGCACGUCUUGACGGUACCUAAUCAGAAAGCCACGGCUAACUACGUGCCAGCAGCCGCGGUAAUACGUAGGUGGCAAGCGUUAUCCGGAAUUAUUGGGCGUAAAGCGCGCGUAGGCGGUUUUUUAAGUCUGAUGUGAAAGCCCACGGCUCAACCGUGGAGGGUCAUUGGAAACUGGAAAACUUGAGUGCAGAAGAGGAAAGUGGAAUUCCAUGUGUAGCGGUGAAAUGCGCAGAGAUAUGGAGGAACACCAGUGGCGAAGGCGACUUUCUGGUCUGUAACUGACGCUGAUGUGCGAAAGCGUGGGGAUCAAACAGGAUUAGAUACCCUGGUAGUCCACGCCGUAAACGAUGAGUGCUAAGUGUUAGGGGGUUUCCGCCCCUUAGUGCUGCAGCUAACGCAUUAAGCACUCCGCCUGGGGAGUACGACCGCAAGGUUGAAACUCAAAGGAAUUGACGGGGACCCGCACAAGCGGUGGAGCAUGUGGUUUAAUUCGAAGCAACGCGAAGAACCUUACCAAAUCUUGACAUCCUUUGACAACUCUAGAGAUAGAGCUUUCCCCUUCGGGGGACAAAGUGACAGGUGGUGCAUGGUUGUCGUCAGCUCGUGUCGUGAGAUGUUGGGUUAAGUCCCGCAACGAGCGCAACCCUUAAGCUUAGUUGCCAUCAUUAAGUUGGGCACUCUAAGUUGACUGCCGGUGACAAACCGGAGGAAGGUGGGGAUGACGUCAAAUCAUCAUGCCCCUUAUGAUUUGGGCUACACACGUGCUACAAUGGACAAUACAAAGGGCAGCGAAACCGCGAGGUCAAGCAAAUCCCAUAAAGUUGUUCUCAGUUCGGAUUGUAGUCUGCAACUCGACUACAUGAAGCUGGAAUCGCUAGUAAUCGUAGAUCAGCAUGCUACGGUGAAUACGUUCCCGGGUCU
rnacentral:rRNA from 1 species